rnacentral:rRNA from 1 species
AACGAACGCUGGCGGCAUGCCUAACACAUGCAAGUCGAACGGGAUCCUGGCUUCGGCCAGGUGAGAGUGGCGGACGGGUGAGUAACGCGUGGGAACCUGCCCAUUGGUCUGGGAUAACUGCGGGAAACUGCAGCUAAUACCGGAUGUACCCGAGAGGGGAAAGAUUUAUCGCCGAUGGAGGGGCCCGCGUCAGAUUAGGUAGUUGGUGAGGUAACGGCUCACCAAGCCUACGAUCUGUAGCUGGUCUGAGAGGAUGAUCAGCCACACUGGGACUGAGAUACGGCCCAGACUCCUACGGGAGGCAGCAGUGGGGAAUAUUGGACAAUGGGGGCAAACCCUGAUCCAGCAAUGCCGCGUGAGUGAUGAAGGCCUUAGGGUUGUAAAAGCUCUUUUACCAGGACGAUGAUGACGGUACCUGGAGAAUAAGCCCCCGGCUAAACUUCGUGCCAGCA